AAUGAACCCUAAGUCACUCUGUGUUAGAUAGGCAAUGACUUGAAAAGACUACAAGCAUCAGAUUUCCCACUCCCUGGUUGGAUUUUUCUCAGGUUCUUGCCUGCCAUAUGAGUUCUGUUAUACUCACAGACAUUAUUAAAACCGUUUUAGAAACUUCUCUGGGCCCGAGUAUUAGGCAGUUUACUCUGGGCAUGCUUUUCAUCCGAAAUCGAAAAUACUGCCCCCUAUACCUUAACAGGCUAAGUAGUAUGUGAUGGUAGUGAGAAACAGCACAAUCCCCAUAGCUGUGUGUUAGUAGUGUUAAUAGUAGUGAACUGACUGAAAGGGAACUUAACAUUCAUAUCAUCUCCUGAUGCUGAUUGUUGCCUCUGACCCAACGUGUCUGUCUGUCAGAGGCCCCAUCAGUGAGCAGGUCACCAGGCAAAACCAGUGAGCUAGAGAGGCCCCAUCAGGGGGCAGGUCACCAGGCAUAACCAGUGAGCUAGGGAGGCUCCAUCAGGGGGCAGGUCACCAGGCAUAACCAGUGAGCUAGGGAGGCUCCAUCAGGGGGCAGGUCACCAGGCAUAACCAGUGAGCUAGGGAGGCUCCAUCAGGGGGCAGGUCACCAGGCAGAACCAGUGAGCUAGGGAGGCUCCAUCAGGGGGCUGGUCACCAGGCAGAACCAGUGAGCUAGGGAGGCUCCAUCAGGGGGCAGGUCACCGGGCAGAACCAGUGAGCUAGAGAGGCUCCAUCAGGGGGCAGGUCACCGGGCAUAACCAGUGAGCUAGGGAGGCUCCAUCAGGGGGCAGGUCACCAGGCAGAACCAGUGAGCUAGGGAGGCUCCAUCAGGGGGCAGGUCACCAGGCAGAACCAGUGAGCUAAGUGUCUAAUAAUAUAUUUUGGACAUAGUGUAUAUCCAGUUCAUAAGAAACACUUACUUGAAACAGGAAUUGCAUUUUUGACUCUUACUUUCAAUGAGUUGCAACUACCUCCCUUAUGCUCUAGAGAUCAUGGUGCAAAGUCUCAGUCCUCAAAGCAGACUACUCCUUUAACCUAGUCACACUGUCGUUCUGAUCCUAACCAUACUGUUCUGGUUCUACUCCUUUAACCUAGUCACACCGUCGUUCUGAUCCUAACCAUACUGUUCUGGUUCUACUCCUUUAACCUAGUCACACCGCCGUUCUGAUCCUAACCAUACUGUUCUGGUUCUACUCCUUUAACCUAGUCACACCGUCGUUCUGAUCCUAACCAUACUGUUCUGAUUCUACUCCUUUAACCUAGUCACACCGCCGUUCUGAUCCUAACCAUACUGUUCUGAUUCUACUCCUUUAACCUAGUCACACUGUCGUUCUGAUCCUAACCAUACUGUUCUGAUUCUACUCCUUUAACCUAGUCACACCGUCGUUCUGAUCCUAACCAUACUGUUCUGAUUCUACUCCUUUAACCUAGUCACACCGUCGUUCUGAUCCUAACCAUACUGUUCUGAUUCUACUCCUUUAACCUAGUCACACCGUCGUUCUGAUCCUAACCAUACUGUUCUGGUUCUACUCCUUUAACCUAGUCACACCGCCGUUCUGAUCCUAACCAUACUGUUCUGGUUCUACUCCUUUAACCUAGUCACACCGUCGUUCUGAUCCUAACCAUACUGUUCUGGUUCUACUCCUUUAACCUAGUCACGCCGUCGUUCUGAUCCUAACCAUACUGUUCUGGUUCUACUCCUUUAACCUAGUCACGCUGUCGUUCUGAUCCUAACCAUACUGUUCUGGUUCUACUCCUUUAACCUAGUCACGCCGUCGUUCUGAUCCUAACCAUACUGUUCUGAUUCUACUCCUUUAACCUAGUCACACCGUCGUUCUGAUCCUAACCAUACUGUUCUGAUUCUACUCCUUUAACCUAGUCACACCGUCGUUCUGAUCCUAACCAUACUGUUCUGGUUCUACUCCUUUAACCUAGUCACACCGUCGUUCUGAUCCUAACCAUACUGUUCUGGUUCUACUCCUUUAACCUAGUCACACCGUCGUUCUGAUCCUAACCAUACUGUUCUGAUUCUACUCCUUUAACCUAAUCACACCGUCGUUCUGAUCCUAACCAUACUGUUCUGAUUCUACUCCUUUAACCUAGUCACACUGUCGUUCUGAUCCUAACCAUACUGUUCUGAUUCUACUCCUUUAACCUAGUCACACUGUCGUUCUGAUCCUAACCAUACUGUUCUGAUUCUACUCCUUUAACCUUGUCACACUGUCGUUCUGAUCCUAACCAUACUGUUCUGAUUCUACUCCUUUAACCUAGUCACACUGUCGUUCUGAUCCUAACCAUACUGUUCUGGUUCUACUCCUUUAACCUAGUCACACCGUCGUUCUGAUCCUAACCAUACUGUUCUGAUUCUACUCCUUUAACCUAGUCACACUGUCGUUCUGAUCCUAACCAUACUGUUCUGAUUCUACUCCUUUAACCUAGUCACACCGUCGUUCUGAUCCUAACCAUACUGUUCUGAUUCUACUCCGUAGUGUGAAAAGGACUGUUUUUUCAUCUUUGCCUUGUAACCAGAGAUUGAUUUGUCGCUGGGAAACUAGGUGUGUGCACACGUCAGCCAAUCAUUAGUUGAUCAUAAGUACCAGGGAGAAACACUAACCUAGCAGGACUGUGGAUGUCGAGGGCCUGAGUUUAUGCACCCUUGAUCAAGACAAUCAACUGUUACUGUAUUUCUCAGUGUUGAGUUUACCCAGGUCAACUGUUACCGUAUUUCUCAGUGUUGAGUUUACCCAGGUCAACUGUUAGUGUAUUUCUCAGUGUUGAGUUUACCCAGGUCAACUGUUACCGUAUUUCUCAGUGUUGAGUUUACCCAGGUCAACUGUUACCGUAUUUCUCAGUGUUGAGUUUAUCCAGGUCAACUGUUAGUGUAUUUCUCAGUGUUGAGUUUACCCAGGUCAACUGUUAGUGUAUUUCUCAGUGUUGAGUUUACCCAGGUCAACUGGCUAACUCAUUGAUCCUGCCUGGUAGGUUUACCACCCAGCUCUGCCCAUUCAUGUCAUUAGAUAUAAACUGGGAUUUCUGAGUGCUCUGCACAGCUAUACCCAUCAAGGCAAAGCUAGUAGCUGCAAUGGAGACUGCAGAGAGAACAGAACCCUCCACAGUUACAACUGGGACGUAGACUUCUCAAUGAUUGUACAAACAUCAUCAUGGCAACAGAACGUGACUUAGGCCUUAUUGGUAACUGUAAUGAAUUAACAAAUGUAAUGAUUUAAUACCAGACAUGUACCCAGUUACAGUCCUCUUCCACUGCUUUUCCAUUUAAGUGUUUGAAAUUAGUAUUUGAAAAAAAUACAAAUUCUAAUUCAUAUGAAAAAGGGAAUCCAAAAGUAGUGACAAUUCCAAAACAUGUUUACGACCCUGUUAUUACAUGGUAAUUACAAAGCUUAUUUCAUUGGUAGUUAAUAUGGUAUAACAAGGCGAAGCCUAUGGUGUCAAGCGUGGCCGGAAACAUUACUGUACUAGAAGGAUUGGUACACUUGCAGUCCCGCAGUCAAACACACUCCAGGUCAGGGAUGGGCAACUCCAGUCCUCGAGGGCCUGAUUGAUUGGAGUUUCCCAUCCCUACUCCAGGGGAAUGGAGUUACCCAUACCUGCUCCAGGGGAAUGGAGUUACCCAUCCCUGCUCCAGGGGAAUGGAGUUACCCCUCCCUGCUCCCCUCCCUGCUCCAGGGGAAUAGAGUUACCCAUCCCUGCUCCAGGGGAAUAGAGUUACCCAUCCCUGCUCCAGGGGAAUAGAGUUGCCCAUCCCUGCUCCAGGGGAAUGGAGUUACCCCUCCCUGCUCCCCUCCCUGCUCCAGGGGAAUAGAGUUACCCAUCCCUGCUCCAGGGGACUGGAGUUACCCCUCCCUGCUCCAGGGGAAUAGAGUUGCCCAUCCCUGCUCCAGGGGAAUGGAGUUGCCCAUCCCUGCUCCAGGGGAAUAGAGUUGCCGAUCCCUGCUCCAGGGGAAUGGAGUUACCCAUCCCUGCUCCAGGGGAAUGGAGUUGCCCAUUCAUGCUCCAGGGGAAUACUGUUGCCCAUCCCUGCUCCAGGGGAAUAUAGUUGCCCAUCCCUGCUUCACGGGAAUAGAGUUGCUCAUCCCUGCUCCACGGGAAUAGAGUUGCCCAUCCCUGCUCCAGGGGAAUGGAGUUGCCCCUCCCUGCUCCAGGGGAAUGGAGUUACCCCUCCCUGCUCCAGGGGAAUGGAGUUGCCCAUCCCUGCUCCAGGGGAAUGGAGUUGCCCAUCCCUGCUCCAGGGGAAUAGAGUUGCCCAUCCCUGCUCCAGGGGAAUGGAGUUACCCCUCCCUGCUCCAGGGGAAUAGAGUUGCCCAUCCCUGCUCCAGGGGAAUAGCGUUGCCCAUCCCUGCUCCAGGGGAAUCGAGUUGCCGAUCCCUGCUCCAGGGGAAUGGAGUUACCCAUCCCUGCUCCAGGGGAAUGGAGUUGCCCAUUCAUGCUCCAGGGGAAUACUGUUGCCCAUCCCUGCUCCAGGGGAAUAUAGUUGCCCAUCCCUGCUUCACGGGAAUAGAGUUGCUCAUCCCUGCUCCACGGGAAUAGAGUUGCCCAUCCCUGCUCCAGGGGACUGGAGUUACCCCUCCCUGCUCCAGGGGACUCGAGUUGCCCAUUCAUGCUCCAGGGGAAUAGAGUUGCACAUCCCUGCUCCAGGGGAAUAGAGUUGCACAUCCCUGCUUCACGGGAAUAGAGUUGCACAUCCCUGCUCCAGGGGAAUAGAGUUGCCCAUCCCUGCUCCAGGGGACUGGAGUUGCCCAUCCCUGCUCCAGGGGAAUGGAGUUGCCCAUUCAUGCUCCAAGGGAAUAGAGUUGCCCAUCCCUGCUCCAGGGGAAUGGAGUUGCCCAUCCCUGCUCCAGGGGAAUGGAGUUGCCCAUCCCUGCUCCAGGGGAAUGGAGUUGCCCAUCCCUGCUCUAGGAGAAUGGAUGACAAAAAGUGAGGGAGACUGAAAGACAGAUACACAGUCCAGGGUUCACUAAGGCCUGAGGGUCAAGGACACACCCUGAGAUAGAUGAACUGCAGGAAGGCUGGGUUGUAGUCAUUAGGGCACAGCGUAGCAAAACGUUUUGCAACUAAAAACAAUUGUUUCUUAUUGUUCUGGUAUCCGUCCCUGUUUCAGUCAGUUUCCUUCUGUUUGGUGCAUAGUAAACACUACCCUGUUGAGACAGUGAGACGUCACAUUGGCAUAGAUUCCACACCCCAGACAAUCAAGGCAGCUUUGUGUUUGUUUUUGUGUGUGAGUUUAUUACAGCACAAUCUUACCAACGCCAAAGAGGUUUGCAUGCAGUGUUUUACUGUAUAUUGUGAAAAAGCUUGUGCUAUUAUGCUGCAAUUUCAGCUUAGCUUGAUCCAUGUUGAGGAUGGGUUUGCAUGGACACCACCUUGGCCUUGUUAGCUCCCUAGGAACUGUGAUUAUGUAUGUAUGCCUCUGACUGAAUCAAUGUCAGUGUAAAACUGAGUGUGUGUGUGUGUCUGUCUGUCAGAAUAUAUAUAUAUAUAUGAGUUGUUUUGAAAGAUGUCAUACCUCAAGUAUGUAUGUGUUGUUGUCAAAUGAGAGGAUUGUACUGUAUAUACCAAAUAAAGUAUACUUUUGAACAGGUGA